rnacentral:rRNA from 1 species
UACGGAGGGUGCAAGCAUUAAUCGGAAUUACUGGGCGUAAAGCGUGCGCAGGCGGUUUGUUAAGUCUGCUGUGAAAUCCCCGAGCUCAACUUGGGAAUUGCAGUGGAUACUGGCAAGCUGGAGUACGGUAGAGGAAGGUGGAAUUCCCGGUGUAGCAGUGAAAUGCGUAGAGAUCGGGAGGAACACCAGUGGCGAAGGCGGCCUUCUGGACCAGUACUGACGCUCAUGCACGAAAGCGUGGGGAGCAAACAGG